rnacentral:lncRNA from 1 species
AAAUUUCAAAAAUCACCUCUAUAUUUUCGUACUUUUUUAUUUUAAUAUUCUGUGGUUUAAAAUGUAUCAAUUUAGUAGCUUGUGGUUUCAUUUUUCUCUUUUUGUCAGCUGUCCCCUUAACAUUUCGUUAAAUUAUAUACAAAAAAACUUCAGAUACCUCACUUAGAUUUAUUGAAUAUUUACUUAGUAUAUUUUACUUUUAACUUUAUCAUUGAUUUAACGAAAAAAAUUAGAGUGAGGAAUAAUAAAAAGAGAAAAAUAAAAUUACGGCGUACUAAAUGAAUACACUUUAAACCAUAAGGUACCAAAGUGAGAAAGUGCCGAUCCACAUGAGUGCUAUUUGAAGUUUUUCCUAAAAAGUAUAUAUAUACAUAUUCAAGGAGUAGAGUUAGAAUAAUAUCGGUAGCAAAUGAGUCCAUCACUACCGAUUUUGUUUUCAAUGAUGGAGCUUUCCGAAUCAACAAUCGACACUGUUGAACAUGAUCUAAACUAAUUGAAGUAUCUUAAAUUAAAUUUUAAAUUUUUUCAAUAUUAAUGACCUAAUGAUCAAAGUAUCACAAAUUUAUUAUUUUAAUAGUCAAUGCAAGACAUUUUCUUGUUUAACCUUAUAAAAAAUUCAAAUCAGUUGAAUUUUUGUUAGAAAUUUUUAAAAACUAUUUAAAACAAGAUUUACAAUCUUAAUCUUGAUUGCAAAAAUUUUAUUAUCACUUUUUGAAGGAUAUUUAUUUUCACCUGUUCAUUUUUAUGUCCACUCGAUGUACAAGAGAAAAAUAUCGAGAGAAUAUAAAACUUAAUUUCUAGAUAUUUUAAGUGGUCAAGGUCAUAUUUAACGAUAUCGAUUGUCGAUUCAGAAGCUUUAUCAUCGAAAACAAGUCGAUAGCAACGGAGGUCGUUUGCUACCGAUAAUAUUCUAGUCUAACCCUACAUUCUAGUACUUCAUACUUUUGAAAACUUUAUUUUACUAUCUUAACCAAUCACCAAAAGCUCCAAAAAUUAUUGUCUCCUCUUAGUGCAUCCUUAUGUCCACACGCGACGUACACUCCACAAUACCUUCUAUUUCAACUCUUACUUCAAUAUAUAUUUAACCCUAACCUUAUUAUAACGAACUUUUAUCAUGUAAAAUUUCGAUCUUUUAUUACGGAGUAU